rnacentral:rRNA from 1 species
AUUGAACGCUGGCGGCAGGCUUAACACAUGCAAGUCGAGCGGGGGAAGGUAGCUUGCUACCGGACCUAGCGGCGGACGGGUGAGUAAUGCUUAGGAAUCUGCCUAUUAGUGGGGGACAACAUCUCGAAAGGGAUGCUAAUACCGCAUACGUCCUACGGGAGAAAGCAGGGGAUCUUCGGACCUUGCGCUAAUAGAUGAGCCUAAGUCGGAUUAGCUAGUUGGUGGGGUAAAGGCCUACCAAGGCGACGAUCUGUAGCGGGUCUGAGAGGAUGAUCCGCCACACUGGGACUGAGACACGGCCCAGACUCCUACGGGAGGCAGCAGUGGGGAAUAUUGGACAAUGGGGGGAACCCUGAUCCAGCCAUGCCGCGUGUGUGAAGAAGGCCUUAUGGUUGUAAAGCACUUUAAGCGAGGAGGAGGCUACUUUAGUUAAUACCUAGUGAUAGUGGACGUUACUCGCAGAAUAAGCACCGGCUAACUCUGUGCCAGCAGCCGCAGAA